GAUGAACGCUGGCGGCGUGCCUAAUACAUGCAAGUCGAGCGAACGGACGAGAAGCUUGCUUCUCUGAUGUUAGCGGCGGACGGGUGAGUAACACGUGGAUAACCUACCUAUAAGACUGGGAUAACUUCGGGAAACCGGAGCUAAUACCGGAUAAUAUUUUGAACCGCAUGGUUCAAAAGUGAAAGACGGUCUUGCUGUCACUUAUAGAUGGAUCCGCGCUGCAUUAGCUAGUUGGAACGGAACCGGCUUACCAAGGCACCGAUGCAUAGCCGACCUGCGAGGGUGAUUGGCCACACUGGAACUGAGACACGGUCCAGACUCCUACGGGAGGCAGCAGUAGGGAAUCUUCCGCAAUGGGCGAAAGCCUGACGGAGCAACGCCGCGUGAGUGAUGAAGGUCUUCGGAUCGUAAAACUCUGUUAUUAGGGAAGAACAUAUGUGUAAGUAACUGUGCACAUCUUGACGGUACCUAAUCAGAAAGCCACGGCUAACUACGUG
rnacentral:rRNA from 1 species